GAUAAGAACGCAGCGAAAUGCGAUAAGUAAUGUGAAUUGCAGAAUUCAGUGAAUCAUCGAGUUUUUGAACGCAUAUUGCGCCCCCUGGUAUUCCGGGGGGCAUGCCUGUUCGAGCGUCAUUAAAUAACCCUCAAGCAUAGCUUGGUGUUGGGCUUUUUUACGUCCUUGACUGGGAUGGGCCUAAAAAUUAGUGGCGAUGGCUUUUUUACUUUCAAGCGUAGUAAAUCUCGUCUUGCUAAAGAGGAAAAAGAUUUUUUUUCUGCCAAAAAUUUUAACAUUUAAAGUUGACCUCGGAUCAGGUAGGAUUACCCGCUGAACUUAAGCAUAUCAAUAAGCGGAGGA
rnacentral:misc_RNA from 1 species